CCUACGGGUGGCUGCAGUGAGGAAUAUUGGUCAAUGGGCGGGAGCCUGAACCAGCCAAGUCGCGUGAGGGCCGCCGGCCCUAUGGAUUGUAAACUUCUUUUGUGGGGGAACAAAGCGGCCCCCGGUUGGGCGAUUGUGUGUACCCGAAGAAAAAGCAUCGGCUAACUCCGUGCCAGAAGCCGCGGUAAUCCGGAGGAUCCGAGCGUUAGCCGGAUUUAUUGGGUUUAAAGGGUGCGUAGGCGGACAGUAAAGUCAGCGGUAAAAAUGCGGUGCUAAACGCCGUACAGCCGUUGAAACUGGCAGUCUUGAGUGGGCGAGAAGUAUGCGGAAUGCGUGGUGUAGCGGUGAAAUGCAUAGAUAUCACGCAGAACUCCGAUUGCGAAGGCAGCAUACCGGCGCCCUACUGACGCUGAGGCACGAAAGCGUGGGUAUCGAACAGGAUUAGAUACCCGAGUAGUC
rnacentral:rRNA from 1 species